rnacentral:rRNA from 1 species
AUACGUAGGGUGCAAGCGUUAAUCGGAAUUACUGGGCGUAAAGCGUGCGCAGGCGGCUUUGUAAGACAGAGGUGAAAUCCCCGGGCUCAACCUGGGAACUGCCUUUGUGAAUGCAAGGCUAGAGUACGGCAGAGGGGGAUGGAAUUCCGCGUGUAGCAGUGAAAUGCGUAGAUAUGCGGAGGAACACCGAUGGCGAAGGCAAUCCCCUGGGCCUGUACUGACGCUCAUGCACGAAAGCGUGGGGAGCAAACAGGAUUAGAUACCCUGGUAGUCCACGCCCUAAACGAUGUCAACUGGUUGUUGGGUCUUCAUUGACUCAGUAACGAAGCUAACGCGUGAAGUUGACCGCCUGGGGAGUACGGCCGCAAGGUUGAAACUUAAAGGAAUUGACGUGG